UACAAUGUUUUUGACUCUUCGUCUUAUUUAAAAUUAUUUUUACGAUUAAUAUUUUUAUUCUUACUAGAUGAUAAAACAUAAAUAAUAUUUUAUGCGUGACUAAUUUUUUAAGUUUUUUUACAAAUUUUUCAAAUAAGACGAAUGGUCAAACGUUGGGCACAAAAAAC
rnacentral:pre_miRNA from 1 species